rnacentral:rRNA from 1 species
UACGUAGGGUGCGAGCGUUGUCCGGAAUUAUUGGGCGUAAAGAGCUUGUAGGUGGUUUGUCGCGUCUGCUGUGAAAAUCCGAGCUCAACCUCGGACUUGCAGUGGGUACGGGCAGACUAGAGUGUGGUAGGGGAGACUGGAAUUCCUGGUGUAGCGGUGGAAUGCGCAGAUAUCAGGAGGAACACCGAUGGCGAAGGCAGGUCUCUGGGCCAUUACUGA